AUGCCCAGAAGUUCCUUUUAUUGUAUUUUGAUGUCUGAUUCUGCCUCCUUCAAAGGAAUUGAAUCCACUCAUACAAAGAUUCAAUCUGAGACUUGUUAUAAAGAAUUCUCCCCUAUGUCUGGGCAGCCAGGGCCACCAGCAACGGUAUUGUUCCUCUCAUUGCGCCCAUUGUGAUGAGCACAUAAGCCAGAUCUUUAGAUCUAGCACAAGUCUAAUUGAAAGGAGCAUUUCAGCUCUAUUAUUCAGUGGACUGAAGAGAAAAUAGGGAAUUAACAAUUGAUGUUUGUCUAGGGUCCACAAACACACCAGAUGAACAAAUAUGUUGGGUCAUAAUUCAUUGUGAAAAAGGGUCUUCUAAUACAAAACGUUACAUAAUGAAAGGAGGUCACUAGCUAUGCAUUGGCUGACACUUUCUCUGGAGAACUAUCCUCUUUACUAAAUAAGGGUCCAUAUCUCCAAGAGGCCAGUCCUUGAUGACGUGGAAAACUAGAAGUGAUGGAGUGAGCAUAUCCUAUUCCCAGGAAUGUACAGGGGCAGUGUCUACCAAGAAAGCCCUUGAACAAAGGCAGAUCUGAAAACCUGGAUCCUGGAUUCUCAAAGGUGCUGCUUUGGAGAAGCCCUUCUGCUCUGGUCCCGCACCCUGCUUGUCCUGUCAGGCGUCCCGAGGCCCCUGGAGGGUUCAGCCCCCGCUUCCCCCAGACAUCUCAUAGCUACUGAGCUAAUGGGCCAGCUCUCCGCGGAGCUGAGAAAAACCUGUCCCGUAUUUCACACCAUCAAUUACAUGCUGGAUUCUCUCCUAGCCGCCUUUUGUUAGCCUGAGCUGAGUUGCCCAGGAGCAGCAGCCGGGUCUGCAAAUGCCAUUUAUGCGCUCUGAUGGGAGCCAUUUGGCACCGGGUUCCAAUGCGCUCUGUCUACAGAUAACCAGGAAGGCUCCAGUUACAAGACAAACAGUCUUCGUCUUGCACUUCUGACUUACUUCCUAUUGAUGAGUGGCCCCCAGGCUUGGGCUCAUCUGUUCCUCUUUUGUCUCCCAGAGUUAUCCAUCGCCAUCCAAGGCCUGGGAGGAAAUACUCGGUUUCUUUGGUCUGAAGAUGCUGGAACAAGAUUGCUUGGACCAAUUAUAGUUUCAUCACUUUUAGCUGUGUGACGUUAGAUUAGUUACUUAACCUCUCUGACCUUCACUUUUUUAAUCUUUCAAAUGAACUACUGCUACAUAAAUUAGAUUUGUAGUGAGGAUUCAUUUGGUUGGUUAAUAUGCUAAAAGUCCAUAUA